CCUACGGGAGGCAGCAGUGGGGAAUUUUGGACAAUGGGCGCAAGCCUGAUCCAGCAAUGCCGCGUGAGUGAAGAAGGCCUUCGGGUUGUAAAGCUCUUUUGUCAGGGAAGAAACGGUCUACUCUAAUACAGUGGGCUAAUGACGGUACCUGAAGAAUAAGCACCGGCUAACUACGUGCCAGCAGCCGCGGUAAUACGUAGGGUGCAAGCGUUAAUCGGAAUUACUGGGCGUAAAGCGUGCGCAGGCGGUUAUAUAAGUCAGAUGUGAAAUCCCCGGGCUCAACCUGGGAACUGCAUUUGAGACUGUAUGGCUAGAGUGUGUCAGAGGGGGGUAGAAUUCCACGUGUAGCAGUGAAAUGCGUAGAUAUGUGGAGGAAUACCGAUGGCGAAGGCAGCCCCCUGGGAUAACACUGACGCUCAUGCACGAAAGCGUGGGGAGCAAACAGGAUUAGAUACCCUGGUAGUCCACGCCCUAAACGAUGUCUACUAGUUGUCGGGUACUUAAUUGUCUUGGUAACGCAGCUACGCGUGAGUAGACGCCGUCGGAGGUACGGUCGCGAGAGUAAACUACGAAGAAGUAGUACGCGNGAGACGUAGACGACGACGACGACGAGGGAGGAGGAG
rnacentral:rRNA from 1 species